rnacentral:rRNA from 1 species
CCUACGGGAGGCAGCAGUGGGGAAUAUUGGACAAUGGGGGCAACCCUGAUCCAGCCAUGCCGCGUGUGUGAAGAAGGCCCUCGGGUUGUAAAGCACUUUCAGUGAGGAAGAACGCCUGGUGGUUAAUACCCAUCAGGAAAGACAUCACUCACAGAAGAAGCACCGGCUAACUCCGUGCCAGCAGCCGCGGUAAUACGGAGGGUGCGAGCGUUAAUCGGAAUUACUGGGCGUAAAGCGCGCGUAGGUGGCUUGAUAAGCCGGUUGUGAAAGCCCCGGGCUCAACCUGGGAACGGCAUCCGGAACUGUCAAGCUAGAGUGCAGGAGAGGAAGGUAGAAUUCCCGGUGUAGCGGUGAAAUGCGUAGAGAUCGGGAGGAAUACCAGUGGCGAAGGAGGCCUUCUGGACUGACACUGACACUGAGGUGCGAAAGCGUGGGUAGCAAACAGGAUUAGAUACCCUGGUAGUC